AUUGAACGCUGGCGGCAUGCCUUACACAUGCAAGUCGAACGGUAACAGGUCUUCGGAUGCUGACGAGUGGCGAACGGGUGAGUAAUACAUCGGAACGUGCCUAGUAGUGGGGGAUAACUACUCGAAAGAGUGGCUAAUACCGCAUGAGAUCUACGGAUGAAAGCAGGGGAUCGCAAGACCUUGUGCUACUAGAGCGGCCGAUGGCAGAUUAGGUAGUUGGUGGGAUAAAAGCUUACCAAGCCGACGAUCUGUAGCUGGUCUGAGGGGACGAUCAGCCACACUGGGACUGAGACACGGCCCAGACUCCUACGGGAGGCAGCAGUGGGGAAUUUUGGACAAUGGGCGCAAGCCUGAUCCAGCAAUGCCGCGUGCAGGAUGAAGGCCUUCGGGUUGUAAACUGCUUUUGCACGGAACGGAAAGCCCUGGGUUAAUACCCUGGGGUCAUGACGGUACCGUAAGAAUAAGCACCGGCUAACUACGUGCCAGCCGCCGCGGUAAAAC
rnacentral:rRNA from 1 species